GAAGGAAGGACCUGGUUGGCUGGGAAGCUGAGGAGGGUACCUAGGAUGGAGCAGUGCUGGGGAAGGGCAGAGGGCACUGAGGAGCUCUAGCCUAGGAAAACCUCAGGCUGCAGGCAUAAUUAAAGCCCUACAAAAGGUACUGGGGCUGCAGAGGGGCAGCCCAGAGAUAGGCAGAGGCAGCUGGUCCAACCAGCUUUGCUGAUGAUAAGUGGUUUACGAACUGCAGCCUGCCUCAGGGUGUGGGGGCUAGAUGAUGACUGGCAGUAGCCACUGAGUAGCACAGUGAGAAGAAGUCUUCAUUGAACGAUCUACAAUGACAUUCAGAUCUCUUUCCUGAGGUACACUUCUCAGUGGUGUAGAUUUGGUGAGCUCCUCCUAAGGAAAUCUUCUAACUCUGAAUAAUGCCAACCAGCAAGGGGAGCUGUGGAAUAUAAUCCUUCAGCAUCCUGAGUCAAACUGAAAUGAAAACAGCAAUGCUGGAGAUGGUUUUCAAUGAGACAUUGGUUAAAUACUAAUUAUUUCUAGCUGAUGCAAAUUUAGAACCUUUUUCAACAAAACACUUAAGCAACAGUCUCUGAGAAAACAUUCAUACAACAAUCUGGUUGUUUUAUUGUCUGAAUCUGUCAGGACAGUCAUUUUGUUACUCAAACAUUGUGAUCCCCUUGCAAGCUGUAAACUGUUUAAUGAGACCUUCUGAAUCAGUAACAUCUGUUCCUGCUGAUGGAAAAUAUCCCCUUGGCUACAGAGAGAUCACAGUCACAUGCUGCUGCUGGAACGGCCUGUGUGAAUCAACAGCAAGAUAGAUUCAUCACUCUGCACCUAAUAGAUAUAACACCAAAAUGUAGCCAAGACAUUCCUGUCCAAAGUGGGAGGUAACAGCAUGUCCCCUAGUGGAGCGCUGACAAAGAUUGAGUCAAACUUGCCAAAAUGUGAACCUGCUGUUAUAGGCAGACUAAGUAUUUCAAACCUGAUGCUCAACACACAGAGCCAUUGUUUUUGACAAUUUCUUACAGAUGAUCAAUUAAUACUUGAGUAAUGCCUGACAAUAUUCAUUAAGAUUUGGUUAGAUGAAAAGAGGCAGAACAGAAAACUGGGGCUUAAUAAAAUAUAUUUUAGAAUAGAUUUAAUUUAUAUUUGGUGCAUUGGUGUUCUGCAUCAGUUCCAUGCUCGAGGUGCUUUACACUAUUUAUAAAGCAAUUUCCUUUAAAAUACCACAGCUCCCAAAGACUCCUACAGAUCAUAUAUGACAACACAAUCUUUUGUAGUAUCUUUCUAACUCCAAACAACAGCUGAGGAUCUUACUUCCAUCAUUGUACUAGUUUGCCUCUGCCAUUAUCUUUUGUGCCACCUCAUGGCAUCAUAUUCUGCAUGAUAAUGAAUAACCUAGAAUGAACAAAUGCAAUGUGUCGUGAUAGACUAUUGUUCACAUUUUGCUGCAAAAUGGAAGUUUCACAUGGAAAAGUUUAAAAAGCUCUUCAAAAACACAACUCUAUAAGUCUGAUACUGUACGGUGCUGGGCACCUCCUUGUCUUCAGUGGGAAUUGAGGAUGUGCAGCCCCUCACACUCCUGAAACUUAUGGGAGAAUAUUGUAGAAGUCAAAUAACUGACGUGUGUUAGUGAGGUACAGCUAAUAAAAAGGGGAAUUGUUUAAAUACCCAAAGUGAAGUUGGGAACUAGCUAUCAGAGACAGUUUUGACAGAGAGCCAUAAAAUGCAAAGCCAUGUACUACUUUAGCACGCAUUAAUGCAGCAGAAAGACCUUUCUAAUGAUCUAU